rnacentral:rRNA from 1 species
UACGUAGGGUGCAAGCGUUGUCCGGAAUUAUUGGGCGUAAAGAGCUCGUAGGCGGUUUGUCGCGUCUGCUGUGAAAACCCGAGGCUCAACCUCGGGCCUGCAGUGGGUACGGGCAGACUAGAGUGCGGUAGGGGAGAUUGGAAUUCCUGGUGUAGCGGUGGAAUGCGCAGAUAUCAGGAGGAACACCAAUGGCGAAGGCAGAUCUCUGGGCCGUAAACUGACGCUGAGGAGCGAAAGCAUGGGGGAGCAACAGG